rnacentral:rRNA from 1 species
GGGAUAGAAUUCCAGGAGUAGCGGUGAAAUGCGUAGAUAUCUGGAGGAAUACCAAAGGCGAAGGCAGUCCCCUGGUCCGAUACUGACACUGAGGUACGAAAGCGUGGGGAGCAAACAGGAUUAGAUACCCUGGUAGUCCACGCCCUAAACGAUGUCGAUUAGCCAUUGGAAGGACCCCUUUUCCUUUCAGUGACGUAGCUAACGCGUUAAAUCGACCGCCUGGGAAGUACGACCGCAAGGUUAAAACUCAAAGGAAUUGACGGGGACCUGAACAAGCGGGUGAAUGAUGUGGAUUAAUUCGAUGCUACGCGAAGAAACCUUACCUACCUUUGACAUGGCCAAAGUUCUACCGAGAGGCGGAAGUACUCGUAAGAGGAUUGGCGCACAGGUGCUGCAUGGUUGUCGUCAGCUCGUGUCGUGAGAUGUUGGGUUCAGUCCCGGCAACGAAMGCAACCCUUAUCUUUAAUUGCUYCUAUUUUAACAGGCACUUUAAAGAAACUGCCAAUGAUAAGUUGGAGGAAGGUGGGGAUCACGUCAAGUYCGCAUGGMCUUUAUAGGUAGGGCUUCACACGUCAUACRAUGGUUAGAACRAAGAAGCUGCAAAUUCGUWAGWAGGAGCCAGAUCCUCCACWAACCUAACCUCAGUUCGAAUUGCGGUCUGCAACUCGAGCGCAUGAAGCCGGAAUCGCUAGUAAUCGUGGAUCAGAAUGCCACGGUGAAUACGUUCUUAGGUCUU